GCAGUCGAACGGCAGCACGGGUGCUUGCACCUGGUGGCGAGUGGCGAACGGGUGAGUAAUAUAUCGGAACGUACCCUAGAGUGGGGGAUAACGCAGCGAAAGUUGCGCUAAUACCGCAUACGAUCUACGGAUGAAAGUGGGGGAUCGCAAGACCUCAUGCUCAUGGAGCGGCCGAUAUCUGAUUAGCUAGUUGGUGGGGUAAAAGCCUACCAAGGCAUCGAUCAGUAGCUGGUCUGAGAGGACGACCAGCCACACUGGAACUGAGACACGGUCCAGACUCCUACGGGAGGCAGCAGUGGGGAAUUUUGGACAAUGGGCGCAAGCCUGAUCCAGCAAUGCCGCGUGAGUGAAGAAGGCCUUCGGGUUGUAAAGCUCUUUUGUCAGGGAAGAAACGGUGAGGGCUAAUAUCCUUUGCUAAUGACGGUACCUGAAGAAUAAGCACCGGCUAACUACGUGCCAGCAGCCGCGGUAAUACGUAGGGUGCAAGCGUUAAUCGGAAUUACUGGGCGUAAAGCGUGCGCAGGCGGUUAUGUAAGUCAGAUGUGAAAUCCCCGGGCUCAACCUGGGAAUGGCAUUUGAGACUGCAUGGCUAGAGUGUGUCAGAGGGGGGUAGAAUUCCACGUGUAGCAGUGAAAUGCGUAGAGAUGUGGAGGAAUACCGAUGGCGAAGGCAGCCCCCUGGGAUAACACUGACGCUCAUGCACGAAAGCGUGGGGAGCAAACAGGAUUAGAUACCCUGGUAGUCCACGCCCUAAACGAUGUCUACUAGUUGUCGGGACUUAAUUGUC
rnacentral:rRNA from 1 species